AGCUGGGUAGCUAAGUCGGGAAGGGAUAAACGCUGAAAGCAUCUAAGCGUGAAGCCUACCUCAAGAUGAGAUUUCCCAUAGCAUAAGCUAGUAAGACCCCUUGAAGAACACAAGGUUGAUAGGUCAGGGGUGUAAGCAUGGUAACAUGUUCAGCUGACUGAUACUAAUAGGUCGAGGGCUUGACCAAAUAA
rnacentral:rRNA from 1 species